CUCUGAUAUAAAGGAGGGAGAGAGUGCAAUAAUAUGUUUUUUAAGUCUUGUGGAGCAAAAUUGGUUGGAAGCACCAGAUGUGGUUCAACAAGCUAUUGUUCCUUCAGGGCAACUGGUGAUGGGGUUGAGAGGAUUGUAUCCGUUUUCUUCACUUUGGGGUUUUAUUUGGAAUAUCAACUAAACGGCCGCAUCCUCCAUGUCCACUACCGUCACUGAUAUCAUUGAGGCCAAGAAAUAUCUGAAGCCAAAAGGGAUUGAUGUAGGUUCUAAUUGAUUAGAGGAUGCUUGACUUUUGCUCAAUCCGUCGGUGGGAUGGUGAACUGCUAUUUUUAGACAAAAAUUUUGCAUUGGC